GCUAAAACACAGAAUACCAAUGACUCUUAGACUCAUUCCCGGGCCUCCGGCUGACCACGGGAAAGGGGAUCUUCAGGAGCGGGUGUCUCAUGGCUGGGAAGAGGACGGCACAGGAGGGCUGGGGAACCCGAAUUGCAGCCUGAAUGGCCAGUGUCCUUUCUCCAGAAUGCAGUUCUCCCUUGCUCAGAAGAAAUGAGUCUGCCAGUGGGUACAACAUGAGAUGAUACUUCCACCCCCAUUGGUGACAGCCCUCACCUAGCUAUCAAGUUCAAAAUGAAGCAGACCAUAGCUGAGUUUAAAGGAGAUCCGAUUGACAUUGGGAAGUGGCACCCAAUAAGAUGGCUGUUUCUUCCGCCUGCUCCAGGGCUCGCCAACAGGAGAACUGAAAGCUGAAGCAUCUCAACCUGCAGAUACAUCUCAAAGGCCCCUUCAGCCGAUGUCCUCAGUGCCCUUGACACAGCCCCUUGGCACUUGCCUUCCACACACAUGCUGCUGCACCAGUUUCCUCCUGGUAGCAUCUUCCUUUCCGCCUGAGGAUUUCCCAGGCAUCCUGCCUCCAAGAAAGUCAGAAGUCAGUGCCUUCCUGAGAGCCGGUGAGAGCUCCGUCUCCCUUGGGCAAGUGGUGCUGAUGCCUGUUCCCUGCAUCCAUCUCUCAGAAGCCACAGCAGAACUGAGCUCCAGGGGCCACUGCGAUACACCUUCGCAAUGGUGACCACAAGAAUCCACUCAGCCUUGGAAGCUGUCCUUGAAACUCACCCUGAAAUCCCUGCCUAGCAGACAGGAGACCUCAGGCUGGACUCCACUCACUAUGUUAUCUCGGCCUCCCCGGGACUCUUAGGACACGACUUUCUUAAUCUUUCCAAGGGGCUAAGCUUAACCAAAAGGAAAUACUGCAUAAGAUGUGUGAAUACUUCAAGAUCUGUGGAAUAUGAAGCUGAAAACAGCUCUGUGUUUAGAAAUGGUUACCGUGCAUGUGUCUGUUUCCCCGAACUAGCACCAGAGCCUCGGUUUGAGGGUCUGUAUUUGAUCCUUUUCUCCUUAGAAAAGAGAGACCUUGUUGAAGGAAUGUUCUUUUUCCAGAGGAAAUUUGGGAAACAAAACGGUCACCUUAAAAACAGCAGCACAAGAAAGUUUGUCCUUAAAUUUAAAUUUUCUUUCAAGCCAGGAAUUAAAGCAAAGGUGGGAGUGGAAGAAUCUCUUCAGAUUGUAACUCUUGAAAUUUCCAGGCUAAGGGAAGUCACUGUGGGAGCAUUCGAGCAGAUUGGUGGUCACCACUGGGGAUUCUAGGAAAGACACGUUUCUUCAUGUUUUUAAUCUCAUCCUUUAAUUCCAAUUUCGGUGUAUGUUAUAUGUUUUGUAAGGUAUUCUAACAUUAAAUACGUGUUAUAUGAAUACAGUGUAUGUUCAUGAAUAUUUCCUUCAGUUUUAUAUUUGAGUUGUUUUGGCCUUUUGACUUGUGAAUAAUGCUGCUGUGAACAGCAUGUGCAUGUAUUUGUUGGAGUCUCUGUUUUCAGUUCUUUAGGGCGUAUACCUAGAAGUCUCUAGGUCAUAUGGUAAUCCUAUGUCAAUUUUUUUGAGGUAUUGCCAAGCCGUUCCCCACAACAGCUGCACCAUUUUACUUUCCUACCAGCCAUUGUAAAAGGGUUUCAGCUUCUCCGCAUCCUUGUCAACACUUAUAUCCCUUAAAACAACAACAGCAAUGAACUCACGGUCAUCCUAGUGGAUGUGAAAUGUUGUGUCAUUGUGGUGUUUAUUUGCAUUUUCCAAGAGUCAUCUUUGUCCACAUGUCCUUUGAAUUGAACUUCAAGGACAAGGAUAUGCACCCUCUGGUGUUGGUUGAGAAUGAUUUGUGGGUCCUUCCACAGUCCCCUCUGGUAUCUC
rnacentral:lncRNA from 1 species